GCCUGAGUGGCUCACUCGGUUGAGCGUCUGACUUCAGCUCAGGUCAUGAUCUCACACUCCGUGAGUUCGAGCCCCACAUCGGGCU
rnacentral:tRNA from 1 species